CCUGACCGGGACUCGUUCGUAGAAGUUUAACAGCGCUGGGGUUUUUUUUGUUUUUUGUGGGGGAUGGGGGGGGGGGGGGGCUUUGUUUCUUUGUUUGUGUUUAAUAGUGCUAGUUUAGCUGUGUGGCCUGGGAGGAAGCACUCGCAGGCGCUCCGGGCCGACGGUGGCCUAGUCUUCCUCCUCCACUGGCGGAUUCGUAAGGCCCUUUCCGUCCCCGGCUCUGCGCCGCAGCAGUCUGACCGCCCGAGCGCAGCCCGGGGUUUGUGCGCACGUGCGGACAGAAGGGACCACGAGAUGGAGGUAUUGGUUUCUCCAUUAUACAGAUGAGGAAACGAGACUCAGUCACACGGAGAGUUAAAGUAAGAGAUGGAGGGAGCCACAGAUGAUUUCACAGUUGUACUGUCUCAUGAGGGUCUGUAUAAAAUGGGCUCAGCUGGUCCCUUUGCAGUGUUAACCCAGAGGCACUCUAGAACCAAGGAUGACUUGAUUGCAAAACUGGGAGAUACAAAUAAUAAAAUGAAAAAACUGUU